UUACUUGCUAGUUACCAUCAUUGAUUGGGGACUCUAGCGAGACUGCCAGCGAUAAGCUGGAGGAAGUGGGAUGACGUCAAAUCAUCAUGCCCCUUAUGACCUGGGCUACAAACGUGAUACAAUGGCUGGAACAAAGGGAGGCGAAGGGGUGACCUGGAGCGAAACCCAAAAAUACAGUCUCAGUUCGGAUUGAAGUCUGCAACUCGACUUCAUGAAGUCGGAAUCGCUAGUAAUCGCGGAUCAGAACGCCGCGGUGAAUACGUUCUCGGGUUU
rnacentral:rRNA from 1 species